CCGGUUCCAUGAGACUCCUGCAGCUUCCCUGGCCCCGGGGCGUCCGUUCACAGCUAGAGUCUGGGGGAAAGGGCUUCUCCCACGAUUGUGAUAAGGUUUGGACAAGUAGCAAGCAUUGUUGUCCCUGGAAUCCUGUAGUUUCUCAAGUCAGGUACUUUUUUUCCCAAAGGCAAAAGAAAAAUGGCUUCCUGCUUGUGCAUGUUUCUCUGGUGAACGUUAGGAGGAGGAAAGGUUACGCGGGUUAGGAAUCCAGCGAAGGGGCCUCUGUUAACAAGCCACGUGCUGGGCUGGAGCUCGUUUCCGGGGACCGUUGGCCAGCAUCGGCCACGGCAUGCGGACGCGGAGCUGCAGGCAGUUGCUAACGGGACAGCGCCGGCGCCUUGGCUGUAGUACUUUCCAUCCCUGAGCACUUUCACCUCUGACCUGUCGGAUCCUCCAUUCUGUUUUCCUGGCUGUAAUGUUCCACGCGGCGCAACCCAGUGGUUCCCGCGUUGAGCUGGGCCUCCUCCCCCUGAGGAAGGAGAUGGGACUCGUGGCCUCAGCAGGGCUGCCGGGUUGUUGACACAUUAUGGACCUGAGGUUUCAGAGACGGGUAACCCGGUGAGGGUGGGGAAUCCCAGCCCCGAGUGUCCCCGAGCAACGGUCAGUCUCUCCCGGUCGCUGGGGGACACUGCUGCCCCCGAGCCAGUUCUCAGGACUCUCAAAGGAGCACGAGGGGUGAGUGAGGCAGUGAGUGGGUCAGGGUCAUUCAGUGGUCCUGGUCCGAGUAGAGUAAGCAAGACCAGGAUUUCAAAAAGGGGGUCCCCACGGCGCGCCGCACGCUUUGAUUCGUGAUUCGUUCUGCCCAGUGUCGGGCACGUGCUGGGCUCACAGGUGAAUCGUCUCCCUCGGCUCCCACCCUCACCCCGGGAGAGGUCGAGGCCUGCGCUUUACGGUCGGGACGACUGAGGCUUGGAAGGGACGAGCGACUCUCCAGGUCCACCCCAGUGUGGUCGACUGGGAUCUGGGGCUGUCCUCUCCUCUCCCCAUCAGGGGUGUUUCCCCAGCGAAGAAAGUGGACGUUUUCCCUUUGGGAAGAGUCCAGGACCGUGGGGAUUUUUGGAUGAAGUGCACCAGGGGAUCAGGGCAGCUGGGCCCCAAAGUGGAGCCCACAGGCUUUCCCCCAAGUCACUGGCAAAGGGGGAACUUCUGGGCAAGGCCACCAGCGUGACCUUCCGAGCCUGCCGCUAAUAGAUCACCUUGUCAAAUCAGGAGCCGGCUGUCCCCGGGGGGAUGCAAGUCUCCUCUCAUUAACCGAGACAAAUGAGAUUGCCCGUUGCCCCCAGACCAGAGGACACAUCCUCCCCGUGAAGUCUGUCGCUGCUCCGGGCUUCGGCAGUUCUGACUGACGUUCUGUGAUUCGUCUGCCACCCCCGGACCACGGGGUUACCCUCCACGUCUCGCCUGACAGCCUUCUGAAGGAGUCUCACGGAAUCUUUGUUUAAAAUUUAAUUGACACAUGCUUAAAAUAAUGUAUCUAUACGGUUCAAAAUGUGAGAGAGGGAAAGGGCAUGAGUGGAGUCUCCUCACGGUUGCAGGCGGGCAGCCACGUAGCAGAGUUUGUGCAUCUCUGCGGGUGCGCACACCACUGUGGGUCCCUGUGUUUCACACACGUGGGAACACGCUCUCUGUGCUUCCUGUUUUGUUCUUUUGGUGGCCUGUUUGUUUUUGUGGGUGGGGUUUAGUUUGGUCAUUUUUCUUUGUGAUACCUCUUGGCGCAUAGGACUAGGAAAGGCCUCGCUGCAGGCCUCGGGUCAGGUGAGGCCCAAGGGGGAUGGCCCUGGGUCAGGUGAGUCCCCCCUGCAGGGAUGGCCCUGGGUCAGGUGAGGCCCCCCUGCAGGGAUGGCCCUGGGUCAGGUGAGGCCCCCCUGCAGGGAUGGCCCUGGGUCAGGUGAGGCACCCUGCACAGAUGGCCCUGGGUCAGGUGAGGCCCCCCUGCAGGGAUGGCCCUGGGUCAGGUGAGGCACCCUAUGGGGAUGGCCCUGGGUCAGGUGAGGCCCCACUGACUGGCCUUUGGGUCUUCCCAGUGGUUCACUCUUACGGACCCCAAAGACAGACAGCCUCCUGGAGACCACCCUGGCUGAGGGGAGGAGGGGCCCCUUCCCUGGGUAGAGUCACACUGUCAGGGCACAGAGCACAGGGCAGUGUCCUAUUCUGUGACUCUUCUCCCAGAGCGAGGCUCCUUGACAGGUCAGAGGUUUGUUUCAUGGCAGCCAGUUCCUGAUGGAGAGAUUUUGAAAAUCAUUAUAGCCAGCCAGCGUGAGAUACCCAAGGCUUGGAGCACAGACGGGCUUGUGGAAGAUGACAGCUCCCCGCUCCAAACGUGAGAAUGCCAGACCCCCCCGCCCCAGAUCCCGCACAUCUGGUUCUUACUCCAUUUUCAACAAGCUGGGGUAUAUUUAGCCUGGGGAACAGACAAGGAGGACAGAGUCUCCUGGUCCCAAAUGCUGUCUGUGUUCAGAUCGUGGUGGGAGCAGGAGAAAUUCAGAAACAGAAGUCCUGUGCAUCAGAACAAGUCUCAGUGGUUAAUGGGAGGUUUCCUGGGGAUUGUCUCAUGCCCCCAGGCAUGCUCUGGGGAAGGCAGCACUGCAGCCAGCCCUGGGCACACAGGGGAACGCUUGGGAACAGGUGUCACACCCUGAGCUUGCCAGGCCUUGUCCCGGGGCGACACGCAGGAGGGGCUGCAGGUUAACCCAGUCCUUUCUCUGGGGAAAACCCCGACAUCCCCCUGGAUUUCUGCCCGGGGUCAGGGCGGGGACUCAGGCUGCCCAGAGGGUAAUCCUCUAAAUGACCUUCUCUGCCUGUUGCCUGGAGGUUGUCCCCCGGGGUCAGGUCCGAGAUGCAGGAGCCAUCCCAGUGCUUCCGGAUGCUUCUCCACCACCACCCCCACCCCCGCCCCGCCCGCCAACCAGGGCACCUGGCCAGGUGGGGCUUGAGGGGCCGCUGUAUACCGAGCACUCAUGCCAGACACGUACCAUCUUAUUUCCCCUCCGUCAGCACCCCGUUCCCGUUUACAGACGAGGAAACGAGGCUGACUGUCUCGCUGAAGGUCAGCGUGAGCUCUGGCUCAGGCGGCAGGCGUGGCAGGAUGUUCCCUUCGCCCCGAAACUGCCCUGGAUCGACUCUAGCCCACCUCCCCUCUGAAUGUCACUCUUCUGCUUCCGGAGUCCGGAAGGCCCUGGAGCAGGGGGUGGGGAAGGGACACGGAAGGGGUCUGGGGACUGGCCGCUCAUUCAAACUUCAGGUAGAAUUAGCCUCCGGAGUCAGGGCUUAGCCGGCUCAUAAACCGGCCCCUGAACCUGGCAGCGGCGGCGCACCAGGCGUGUUGUUGCCUCUGUAAGGCGUGCGGGCUUCCUGUCGUCUGCCGGGAGGCGCGCUCUCCCCCACCCCAGAAACUCUGGGCUGUGCCCCGGCCAUGCACUCCUGCGCCCACGGAGGCCUGCACUUCUGGCCUCCUGUGCGUGGGUCAGCCUGUUGAGCUGCUGUAUAAAAGUGAGUGUAAUUACUUCCCUCGUGUCAAGUCUUUUAGUGGCAGAAGCUUAAAAAUGAUCUUCGGGAGCCAUUAAAACCUUGGAUCAAUAGAGGCAUUUGUGCAAGUCACGUGCACUUAAAGCGAUGGGGCCGCAGUUAACCCAGGGGCGCCCCAAGGGCAGGCCAAGGACACGUGGCCGUCAGCUCGCUUGCUUGUCGGGGGUGGACCUCACUUCCGGGAGAGUCAUCCUCUUUUGUCGCUGAGGUAGUUCGGGGCUCCAGCUGUCACCUGGUUCCGCAGGUCACCUCCUGCCUGGGGUCCCCGCUCUGAAUGACAUCAGCGUUUGCUCAGUCGACCGAGGAGUGUUGGUGGAGCUUCUCCUUGGGGCCAGAAACCAGAGGGCGGUUAGGGACGAGCUCUGGAGGAAUUAGGUGUCACGCAGCCUCCUAGCAGCCCUUCAAACCGUUUCAUUUUCUCCAUUUUAGAAAUGGAGACACGGAGGAUCGUAGACCUUCUCCGGGAUUCAGAACCACAGUUCGAAUCCCACUUUGCCCAGCUCUGAGUCUCCAGGACCGAUUCCCCCACUUCAUUACCUUCCCUUUCCAGGGCUGGGGUCCAGUGACUGUGUGUAAGUCGUCAUGGGUCUCGGCCCCCAAAUUGUCCUCAGGCGACAUGCCCUGGGGCCCCCGUUGAGUCGGGGUCCCUGGGACCUGUGUGGUGGCACAGACCUGACUUAGCCUGUUGGAGUCACGAUGAGGGUGGGGUCUCUCCUCCAGGGGGCCCGGCAGGGGUUGCCCCUCUCCUGAGCUGGAUCUGGGGCUCUCUCCAGCGCCCCUGCAGGGUUGUCCGAAGAGUUCGGAACGCUUGCUCAGAAUGGCAUCAAGAUGCAGUGUCUUGCAUCCCACUCCCUUUGGGUGAGGCACUGCCCCUCACCCUUCUUCCCGUGGGCACAGGUGCGGGGCUCUCGCGGUGGACGGCGCUGGGGGAGAUGAUGGCAGGAAGCAGCAGCAGCCUGGACAAAUCGCUCUUUCGGGCGUGGGGUCUGCUGGGCUCCCUCCGACCCCCCGCCUCCUCACCACGCGACCUCAGCACCCCUCCUGAACCUCGUCUUCCUUGAUCCACCACUCCCGCUGCUCCGUUUCCUAACGGAAAAGCUAAUGAAAUAGACCAACCCUAAGAGAGCAGCAGGGAAAGUGAGUGUGUCGAGCAGCCGUUCAGAGCAUCCUUCCCCACGUGCCGCCUCUUUUCCUCCUCUGGUGUUUGUGGGGAAAAGGCUAAGAAACACCUGAUUGUUUUAGCUGUGACAUUAUUGCCAUCAAAGGUUUGUCUCUACCCAGUUGAGUCUUGUUGGAAAUGUGGCCAGAAUUUACUCUGCUGGUUUAGAAAAAGAGCUGAGGGUCAGGGUGGUACAAAGAUGUCUCACUGUGACUCCUUUGAAAGAGAGGCUUACACAUUAGGUGUGUCCGUGUCCCUGGGUGAAGGUGAGUCUGACCCUCCACGAACAGCUGGCAGCGUGCCCGCGUCCACGCAGAAACGGUGCCCGGCUUGGACAGUGGAGUGGACCCUGUACAGUCUCUGCCUUCACGCCUGCCACGGGGCAGGUGCCCAGGCGAUGUGUCCCUGGGCCUCUUCCUGCUGUCGGCUAUCUGAUCGGGGAGUGGGUAGGAAGCUACUUGCCGAGGAAGAGCCGUGUCCUUGAGGAGUCCGUGCUGGACGAGGCAGGCAGACGGGCCAAAGUGGGCAGCAGGGUCUGGUUGCAUCGCACACAGCCUCCCCAGACUCCUGGGCCUGGCAGGGUCACACAUGGAGUCAGCUGAGCGGCUCCGUGUCCUUCAGGAGGCCGUGGCAGGGCAUCAAGGACAGCGGAAAGUCUAGGACCAGUUCUACAAGCUUUGGGAUCCACGUCGUUUUCCCUAAUAACGUUGCCCUUGGGCCACUGUUGCUGGAAGGGAAAGGGCAGCUGCAUCCCAGGCCCCUGCCCACUUCCAGCUGGCCGUGUGCAGUGGCACUGAGCCUCUGUGUAACAGACAGUGUCCUCGUCUGUUACACGAGGGUAAACCCUCACCUCACAGCAUUUGUGUCCAGAUUAAAAGACUGGGCACCUGGGACUGUGCCCAGCACACCCAGGGGUUGUCACUGAGUGGAUGUGUGUGCCCUCCCGCGAUGCAGGGUGCCAAGAGGCAGCACCUGUCGGCUCUGUGACACGCGCCCUCCGCGCAGACCGAGGAUUCAUGCUCGCCACCUUCCGUGCAAUUCUAAUUUCAGCGUUUCUCAGCUCGCUUUUGAAAUAGCAUCUUUCAUCCCCGGGUGUCUGCACAGCCCAGAAACGGGAACAGCCCCCCUCUGCAGGCAGACAUGUGAGAUCCAGGUUCACGCUUUUCCUGGGUAAACACCAGAUCCAGCAGGAGGGGGUGGGAAGGCCUGGACCUGAGCCAGGACCAUGUUCAAGGAGCACGCGUUGAGCACCUCCCGUGUGCCGGUGCCUUUGCUCACAGUGGUCCCGUGGGGAGCUAAGGGGACAGGCUCAGUGAUGUGCAGCUCCAUCCACACACCUGGGGCCACACAACCAGCAGUCAGAUCGGUGUCUCCCUCAGCGCCGUGUCUAAUCGGCCCAGUGACUGUUUGUGCCCCAAGACAGUCAGCAGGCGCUUCCGGAUCAGAGCGUGUCCUGCCUCAUCUCGGGUGACUGGGUGCGUCUGCUCCUGCUGUGUUUUUGAAGGUCCUCUGAGAGGUGCUCGUGCACAAGCACUCAGCUAGGAGGUCCUGCACAUCAUUCAAAAUCAUGACCCAUGAGGGAUCUAGGGAGGGUAACUGCACAGAAUCAGGGUCAGCAAAAAACACAUGUGGUGUCCCGCUGUCACCGCACGGCCUCCCCUCGCCCGGCUCACCCACAGGGGCCCAGAGCCAGACCAGUGAGGCCGUCUGGUCGGAGAGAGGAGGGUCCUCGGGUGCCCAGCCCGGGACCAGGCCUGGCUGAGGUCCAGUCUGGGUGUCCCUCUCCUGAGCUGGCCCCGAGGGCAGCUGGGUGGGGGUCCCACUGCACUCACCCUGGCUUCUCU